GCUGUUUGUGCUUUGGAGACAGACACUAAUAGGCUGGCAUGUUCAUGGGUGUGGUGAGGACCAGACACUGGGAAUAUCAGGGACUACAGGUGCACCAUUGGGUUCUUCGGAGGGGUAGUGCACAGACGUCUCCUGUACAGUUCCCUGAUAUUUCAGAUGCAGCUGCUGCUCCAGUACUGCUACAAGCCCCUCUCACACCAGUUUAUGCCACAGGGGGUCUCCCGGCAGACUUUUAUUGCUGAGGCCUGCUCAGUGAGUAGAUGGCCUUCGUGACUGGGACUCCAGUAAGUUGGCUCACAGGAGACUCAUCUAAAACAUAAGGACUCACAUAAACUUAAACGGUAGAAAAAUAUAUUCUAUGCAAAUGUACACCAAAAGCAAGCAAAAGUAGCUAUUAUUAUAUCAUAUGAAACAAACUUUAAAGCAACAGCUGUUAAAAGAGACAAAGAGGGACAUUAUAUAAUGAUAAAAGGACUAGUCCAACACAACAGGAAAAUAUCGCAAUUCUACAUAUAUAUGCACCUAACACUGGAGCUCCCAAAUUUAUAAAACAAUUACUACUCGACUUAAGAAAUGAGAUAGACGGCAACACAAUAAUAGUGGGAGACUUUAAUAGACCACUAACAGCACUAGACAGGUCAUCAAGACAGAAAGUCAACAAAGAAACAAUGGAUUUAAACUAUACCUUUGAACAAAUGGAUUUAACAGAUAUUUACAGAACGUUCUACCCAACAAUUACAGAAUAUACAUUUUAUUGAUCAACACAUGGAACAUUCUCCAAGAUAAACCAUCUGAUAGGCUACCAAACAAGCCCCAGUACAUUUAAGAAAAUUGAAAUUAUAUCAAGUACUCUCUCAGACCACAGUGGAAUAAAAUUGGAAAUCAACUCCAAAAGGAACUCUCAAAACCAUGGAAAUACAUGGAACUUAAAUAACCUGCUCCUGAACGAUCAUUGGGUCAACAAUGAAAUCAAGAUGGAAAUUAAAAAAUUCUUUGAACUGAAUAAUAAUAGCUACACAACAUAUCAAAAUCUCUGGGAUAAAGCAAAACCAGUGCUAAGAUGAAAGUUCAUAGCAUUAAAUGCCUACAUCAUAAAGUCUGAAAGAGCACAAAUAGACAAUCUAAGGUCACACCUCAUGGAACUAGAGAAACAAGAACAAUCCAAACCCAAACCCAGCAGAAUAAAAGAAAUAACAAAGAUCAGAGCAGAACCAAAUGAAACUGAAACAACAACAAUAAAAACAAUACAAAAGAUACAUGAAGGAAAAAUCUGGUUCUUUGAAAAGAUAAAUUGAUAGACUAUUAGUGAGAUUAACAAAGAAAAGAAGAGAGACAACCCAAAUAAGCUCAAUUAGAAAUGAAACAAGAGAUAUUACAACUGAUGCCACAGAAACACAAAA
rnacentral:lncRNA from 10 species